rnacentral:rRNA from 1 species
UACGGAGGGUGCAACCGUUGCUCGGAAUCAUUGGGCGUAAAGCGUACGUAGGCGGUCCAGCAAGUCGGGUGUGAAAUCCCUCGGCUCAACCAAGGAAGUGCAUCCGAAACUGCUGAGCUUGAGUACUUAAGAGGAUCGCGGAAUUCCCGGUGUAGAGGUGAAAUUCGUAGAUAUCGGGAGGAACACCAGUGGCGAAGGCGGCGAUCUGGGAAGAUACUGACGCUGAGGUGCGAAAGCGUGGGGAGCAAACAGG